GGGGUGAUAGCUGAGAUGGUUUAGCGCCGGUGUGAAGCGUCGGAGAGAUUGGUUCGAGUCCAAUUCGCCCCACCA
rnacentral:tRNA from 1 species